rnacentral:misc_RNA from 1 species
CUCAUAGUUUCCCGUAGAGCAGCCGCUCCUCAAGCACAAGCCUCUCUUUCUCCCCUCGCUGCACGCCGCUCGCUCUUCUCGUCGUCUCUCCUCCCCCCCCCACCCCUUACCCCAGCGGCUACAGCGGGUUUUGUCGUUCUGUUAUCUCUAGAGCUCCCCCCCCCUCCCUGCCCCACUGCCUCCUGCAGUGGCCUCGCACUCCGCGCGCGCGUGUGGCCUCCACGCUGUCCUCAGACGCGCAUAUACAGGCCACCACUGAGCACUGGGUGUAGCCCCUCCCCACCCCACCCAUCAUCAGAGAAACAACACCUCUACGGCAUCAUGACGCAGCUGCACUCCGUCGCCAGCCUCGACUACGGCGAUGGCCGCACCUGUGUGUGCCGCAUUUGCGAGUGUGGCAAGCACCAGUGCCCCGGCUUGCGCGUCCCAUUCGUUGGGGAGACGACAUACCGCGAUGAGUACGUUGGCAAGAAGAUUGAGCGAGAGCGGCCGCGCAAAGCAAGGCAGACGGUGUUUCCGUCCAAGGCAGAGCCCGGCCACUUCAAAACGACGAAGCAGGAAGCGGCAGACUUGCUGAAGGGUAAGGACCUGCGCCCGGCGGAGUCCUACAAGCCCCGUGAGGCCGCAGCGGCACCACUGCCGUUUGAAGGCACUACAACGAACCGCGCCGACUUUCCAGGCUGGAUGCCCGACUACAACCGUACCAAGCGCAGGGAGGACCCACUCCCGAAACUGCCGGGCACGUACGUGACGACGAAGGGGGCGAUGGAGGAGCCGGUGCGUGACCUGGCCGAGCAGGGUAGGCUGCCGAAGCCGCCAAAGAGCUUCAAGGCGGACGACACCCUGCAGAAUAGCCUCCCCUUCGACGGCAUUACCAGCUACACAGCGGAGUACCAGCCGAAGGAAGUGCCGAUGACGCGCAGCGCCGCCCGCGACGUUCAGCCCGUCGCCCUGCCUGAGAACCGUGACUUUCAGACCACAGUCUCCGAGGCGUAUCAAGUGCCGCCGAUGCACAUGCGCCACGACUGCCCAGCCGCCUUCGUGCCGACGCGCCCUGCCUCGCGCGAUGGUCACCUCAAGCUCUCCGUCUACAACAUCCCCUCCGGCGAUACCAUGUACUAGUAUGCACGAGGGCAACCACAAGCACAGGCAUGCACGAGUGUGUCGCGGCACUGCUCCUACUGGAUACGUGCCGGUGCGUGUGCGUGUGCAUCUUUUUCUGCACUGUGUGCAUGUGAGCGUGUACUGUCGCUGUUGUGAUAGAACAUGGGUGUGUCGGUGCAUCUGCGCGUGUGCUGCCUGCACACCCUCUCUCCUUGUACUCCUCCUCUUUUACUGUGUGUGUGUGUAUCUUCCUGUCCUUCACCUCCUUCCAUGUCUACUGAUGUAUGCAGCCCUCCUCCCUCCCUCCUCCAUGUUUUUUUUUUUCUCUCGCUCUCUCGCUCUACGAGUGGGCUUGUGUCCUGUGCGUGAGAGUGUGCCUGUCGAUGCAGGACUCACUGGUAUCGUCCUCACCACGAGCACCAUCACUAUCACCUUGUCGCUGUCGUCGCUGUCGCACCGUGCACAUCUCUUACGUUGCAGGCAACCAACAGCGGCGAUAACGCACGUAUUUCGUGUACCUUCAACGCCUCUCUCUCUCUGUGUUGUGUGUGUGUGUGUGUGUGUCCGUCUCCGUCUGUGCGACGGCGGAUGCGCCCCAUUUGUUGCUGUUCGCGUGUUUUCGCCUUACGAUGUUGUUGAGAUCGCUGUUCUCUCCUCCUCCUCUUCGAUGCUGUGCGUCACGCUGCCCGUUGCAUCGCUCCUUUCCUCGCUCUACCGCCGCGUGAGUUGAGUGUGUGUGGAUGAGUGGGGAGGAGGGUCAACGAUGCGCAUGCGAUACACGAGGGAGAGCAAGUGCGUGUGUACAAGCAUGUG